rnacentral:rRNA from 1 species
CGUAGGGUGCGAGCGUUAAUCGGAAUUACUGGGCGUAAAGCGUGCGCAGGCGGUUUUGUAAGACAGAUGUGAAAUCCCCGGGCUCAACCUGGGACCUGCAUCUGUGACUGCAAGGCUAGAGUACGGUAGAGGGGGAUGGAAUUCCGCGUGUAGCAGUGAAAUGCGUAGAUAUGCGGAGGAACACCGAUGGCGAAGGCAAUCCCCUGGACCUGUACUGACGCUCAUGCACGAAAGCGUGGGGAGCAAACAGGAUUAGGUACCCUGGUAGUCCACGCCCUAAACGAUGUCAACUGGUUGUUGGGUCUUUACUGACUCAGUAACGAAGCUAACGCGUGAAGUUGACCGCCUGGGGAGUACGGCCGCAAGGUUG